rnacentral:rRNA from 1 species
CUCCCCUCGGGUCCCGGCCGUUCGUACGCGCCCUGGUCCCCUUCGCACUGCUUCUGUGAUCGGGACUGGUACGAGAUAUCAAACAACUUUCUUAAGGCUCUCGUUAUGCGAGGGCACAGUCUAGGUGCCAAGCAGCCGCGCGUAAUUCCAGCUCCAAUAGCGUAUAUUAAAAUUGUUGCAGUUAACAAGCUCGUAGUUGAAUUUCUGUUAAAAAUAACCGGUCUGCUUUUAUUAAAAGUGGUAUCUUGGUGUGUUUUUAGCAAUAAUGUCCUUUGAAAUGUUUUUUACUUUAUUGUAAGAAAUAAUAUUCAGGAUUUUUACUUUGAGAAAAUUAGAGUGUUUCUAGCAGGCUAACGCUUUGAAUACUGCAGCAUGGAAUAAUAAAAUAGGAUUUUAGUUCUACAUUAUUGGUUUUAAGAACUAAAUUAAUGAUUGAUAGGGACAGUUGGGGGCAUUUGUAUUUAACUGUCAGAGGUGAAAUUCUUAGAUUUGUUAAAGACAAACUACUGCGAAAGCAUUUGCCAAAGAUGUUUUCAUUAAUCAAGAACGAAAGUUAGGGGAUCGAAGACGAUCAGAUACCGUCGUAGUCUUAACUAUAAACUAUGCCGACUAGAGAUUGGAGGUCGNCUNUAUAAACGACUCCUUCAGC